ACCUCUCUCUUAUCCUCAUAAAAACCCUAUCACGUGCCUUGCAAAUGAAACGUCCCGGCGGUUUCCAUCGCCCCUCUGCUCUAUAAUACAUAUACAUAUUAGAGACUAAGAGAGAAUUGGAGUGAUAGAGAUGGAGAAACAGAGAAUAUGAGGGAUCCAAUCGGUGCUUCCGACGACCGGUCCACGGCGGCGUAGCCACCACCAUAACAUCAGCGACAGAGUAGUUUUUCAUCACCAAGCCUGAGUUCAAACCCUAAUUUUUCUCGAACGAAUACAGUAUAUUUUUAAUACCUUGCAGGAUUUGGAGAUCCCUGAUUUUUUUAUUGAUCUGUUGCUGGUAGAUAAGGCACAUAUCGAUCCUUUAUAUUAUUCAUCCAUUUGUUCCGAAUGUGUUGGUGCCUCCAAGAAGUAGUUUUAUUUCGUCUGCUUCAUCUGGGUCUGCUGCUGAAGUGAAGAAAGGGAAAGAAGGGCCUGACCGUUAUGAGUCUGAUAAUAUUCAGCAUUUGAAAUACGUGACGAGAACACCCAACUGUUCAUGAGGUGCGAGGAGUAUUUACAAAGGGAGACUGCGUUGAAAACUACGAAGGAUCCUAUUAGAGCAUUGAUGUUAUUGCAGACUCUAAUGGAGGUGUGGAGGAAUUUAAGAAACACGAUGGAAGGAUCACCUGACGCUAAUCACCCUAUUAGAUGUGCUGCUUCAUUGCCCGUCUUGCUAUGUCAUGGAGUCGGCUGUGGAAGAACGAUCGUUGGCUGUUUUUAGAAUUUCGAAAGACAAUCUCAUUUCAGGUACUCCAAGUGUGAUAUGCCCUACAACCCUGAUGCUUAUAUGGUGAAGUGAGUUGUGGGGGCUAGCUACAGCGAGUCUCCUGCAAUUGUGCAGUUCUGGGACGAGUCACGGGUUGAUUGAGGUAAAAAAACAGAUGAGUGGGCUUCUGAGAGGAUUCUGUUGUGUUUUUUAUUUGGACCUUAAAUCUUCACAAACGACCAAAAAUUAGCGGUUCACAGGUAUGUAAUGGGGGAUAUAUUUAUCUCUUAAUAUUUUGUUUUCGAUGGCGAGCUGUUAAUGUCGGUAAAUACGGUCCGAAUUGCAGUCAUGUCACAUAGCUAAAGUUUUAAUAGGUAUUGUUGAUUUGUUGAU